UCGGGAAUUUUGGGCAAUGGGGGAAACCCUGACCCAGCAACGCCGCGUGAAGGAUGAAGUAUUUCGGUAUGUAAACUUCUAAAGAAUAGGAAGAAUAAAUGACGGUACUAUUUAUAAGGUCCGGCUAACUACGUGCCAGCAGCCGCGGUAAUACGUAGGGACCAAGCGUUGUUCGGAAUUACUGGGCGUAAAGCGUACGUAGGCGGUGACUCAAGUCAGAGGUGAAAGCCUGGAGCUCAACUCCAGAACUGCCUUUGAAACUAGGUCGCUAGAAUCACGGAGAGGUGAGUGGAAUUCCGAGUGUAGAGGUGAAAUUCGUAGAUAUUCGGAAGAACACCAGUGGCGAAGGCGGCUCACUGGACGUGUAUUGACGCUGAGGUACGAAAGCGUGGGGAGCAAACAGGAUUAGAUACCCAGGUAGUCCCUGAGCGGGCUGGCAAGGCGCAU
rnacentral:rRNA from 1 species